GGUUGUGUGGUCUAGAGGUAUGAUACCUGCUUAGGGUUUCUGAUACAGAGGAUCGAAUGCAGGUGGUCCGGAGUUCGAUUCUCCGCUCAACCC
rfam:Fomitiporia mediterranea MF3/22 unplaced genomic scaffold FOMMEscaffold_7, whole genome shotgun sequence.